rnacentral:rRNA from 1 species
GACGAACGCUGGCGGCGUGCCUAAUACAUGCAAGUCGAGCGGAUCUUCAUUAGCUUGCUUUUGAAGAUCAGCGGCGGACGGGUGAGUAACACGUGGGCAACCUGCCUGUAAGACUGGGAUAACUUCGGGAAACCGGAGCUAAUACCGGAUAAUCCUUUUCCUCUCAUGAGGAAAAGCUGAAAGACGGUUUCGGCUGUCACUUACAGAUGGGCCCGCGGCGCAUUAGCUAGUUGGUGAGGUAACGGCUCACCAAGGCGACGAUGCGUAGCCGACCUGAGAGGGUGAUCGGCCACACUGGGACUGAGACACGGCCCAGACUCCUACGGGAGGCAGCAGUAGGGAAUCUUCCGCAAUGGACGAAAGUUUGACGGAGCAACGCCGCGUGAGCGAUGAAGGCCUUCGGGUCGUAAAGCUCUGUUGUCAGGGAAGAACAAGUACCGGAGUAACUGCCGGUACCUUGACGGUACCUGACCAGAAAGCCACGGCUAACUACGUGCCAGCCGCCGCGGUAAGAC